rnacentral:rRNA from 1 species
GUCUACGGCCAUGCCACCCUGAACAAGCCUGAUUCCGUCUGAUCUUGGAAGCUAAGCAGGGUUGGGCCGGGUUAGUACUUGGACGGGAGACCAUCUAGGAAGACCAGGUGCUGUAGAUG